UACGUAGGGGGCUAGCGUUGUCCGGAAUCAUUGGGCGUAAAGCGCGUGUAGGCGGUCCGGUAAGUCCGCUGUGAAAGUCGGGGGCUCAACCCUCGGAUGCCGGUGGAUAGUGUCGGGCUUGAGUACGGAAGAGGCGAGUGGAAUUCCUGGUGUAGCGGUGAAAUGCGCAGAUAUCAGGAGGAACACCAAUUGCGAAGGCAGCUCGCUGGGACGUUACUGACGCUGAGACGCGAAAGCGUGGGGAGCAAACAGG
rnacentral:rRNA from 1 species